rnacentral:tRNA from 1 species
AGGGGUACAGCUCAGUGGUAGAGUGCAUGCUUAGCAUGUACGAGGACUUGGGUUCAAUCCCCAGUACCUCCA